GGAGGGAUAGCUUCUGCUAUCAGAGACGAUCUUUGGAAAAUUCUAUGUCCCCAAAAAAUUCAUGUGUUUUUAUGGCUGUGUGUCCUCAACAAAAUCCUAACUAGAGAUAAUCUUGCAAAAAGGAGAGAAGUAGAGGAUCCAUCUUGUCUUUUCUGUGCUGAAUAUGAAACUAUCCAACAUUUGCUAUUUGACUGUGUGGUUGCUCAAUAUGUAUGGAACUUUGUCUCUGACUUCUUUGAGAUUGAUAGAAUCACUAACUUUGAAAAAAUAUAUGCCUUCUGGCAUGUGCAUGAAAAAAAACCUGUGCUGAAUAUGGUGAUUGCUGCUACCUUGUGGAGCUUGUGGAGACUGAGAAACAACUUUUGUUUUCAGGGACAGAAGUGGAAAAACGUGAACUGCAUUCUCGCAAAACUAAGCUGCUAUUUACAUCUGUGGAAAGUUCUCUGCGACGAUGCUCAAGCAACCCUGUUUCAAUGA
rnacentral:rRNA from 1 species